UACAGAGGGUGCAAGCGUUAAUCGGAUUUACUGGGCGUAAAGCGUGUGUAGGUGGUUAGGAAAGUCGAUUGUGAAAUCCCUGGGCUCAACCCGGGAACUGCUUUCGAAACUAUCUGACUAGAAUUCGGUAGAGGGAGGCGGAACUCCAGGUGUAGCGGUGAAAUGCGUAGAUAUCUGGAAGAACACCAAUGGCGAAGGCAACCUCCUGGGCCUGAAUUGACACUGAGACACGAAAGCGUGGGGAGCAAACAGG
rnacentral:rRNA from 1 species